rnacentral:rRNA from 1 species
AUGGGGAAGCGAUGGAUCCCGCUCGAGGCCAACCCCGACGUCAUGAACCAGGUGAGCACGGCCUCCUCCCCCCUCCCCCCACCCCCGGUGCUAGGGUUUUGCUUCCUUUUCGUCUCGGGCGCGCUCUCGCUCACAGACGGCGCUUCCGCCGCGUGUUGGCGCCGAUGCCUGCAGUUCAUCUGGGGACUGGGAGUCACCGAGGGGGAGGCGCAGUUCUGCGACGUCUACGGCCUCGACGACGAGCUGCUCGCCAUGGUGCCCCAGCCCGUCCUCGCCGUCAUCUUCCUCUACCCGCUCACCUCCCUGGAUGAGAAGGUGGAGGAAUACGAUGCUUCUGCCACCUCGACGGCAGGGGGCAAGAGGUCCAGAAAAAUGUUGAUCUUGGAUUCAAGCAAGAAGGUGUACUUUACAAAACAGACUGUUGGCAACGCUUGUGGAACAGUUGGUGUUAUUCAUGCAAUAGGGAAUGCUGCAUCCGACAUCAAGCUGGUUGAGGGAUCUUAUUUUGAUAGGUUUUAUAAACAAACAGCUGACAUGGAUCCAGUUCAGCGUGCUGUCUUUCUCGAGGAGGAUGAUGAGAUGGAGGGUGCUCAUGCUGUUGCUGCUACUGCUGGUGACACUGACGUAAACGUUGAGGUGAAUGAACAUUUUGUCUGUUUCUCCUGUGUUGAUGGUGAACUUUAUGAGCUUGAUGGACGAAAAUCAAAACCGAUAUCUCAUGGCCCUUCAUCACCUGAGACCUUGCUGCAGGAUGCUGCAAAAGUCAUCAAGGCCAGAAUUGCGACGAACCCUAACUCGUUGAACUUCAACGUCAUGGUUCUUUCAAAACAGUGA